UACGUAGGGGGCAAGCGUUAUCCGGAUUUACUGGGUGUAAAGGGAGCGUAGACGGCAUGGCAAGUCUGAAGUGAAAGCCCGAGGCUCAACCACGGGACUGCUUUGGAAACUGUUAAGCUAGAGUGCAGGAGAGGUAAGUGGAAUUCCUAGUGUAGCGGUGAAAUGCGUAGAUAUUAGGAGGAACACCGGUGGCGAAGGCGGCUUACUGGACUGUAACUGACGUUGAGGCUCGAAAGCGUGGGGAGCAAAC
rnacentral:rRNA from 1 species